rnacentral:rRNA from 1 species
AUUGAACGCUGGCGGCAGGCCUAACACAUGCAAGUCGAGCGGAGCGGCGGACGGGGGAGUAAUGGCUAGGAAUCUGCCUGGUCGUGGGGGAGAGCGACCAGAAACGGGCGCUAAUACCGCAAACUAUAAGAUGAGCCUAGGUCGGAUCAGCUAGUGCGUGAGGUAAAGGCCUAUCAAGGCGACGAUCCGGAUCUGGUAUGAGAGGAUGAUCAGUCACUCUAGAACUGGGACACGGUCCAGACUCCAACGGGAGGCAGCAGUGGUGAAUAUUGGACAAUGGGCGAAAGCCUGAUCCAGCCAUGCCGCGUGUGUGAAGAAGGUCUUCGGGUUGUAGAGUACUUUAAUUUGGGAGGCGUUACCAACAGAAUAAGCACCGGCUAACUUCGUGCCAGCAGCCGCGGUAAUAC